CGAUGAUGAUGAUGAUGAUGAUGAUGAUGAUGGUGAUGAUGUUCAGAAUUGAAAAGAAACCAACCAAAAGACAACCACCGAAGCUGAUGUAUGUCUUUUGGAGCCGUAGGUGAAAUCUGGACCUGUACUCACUUAUUGAACGGCGAUCGGCAGCAGAUACGUGUGUCCCCAAGAUCAGCAUGAUCACCAUGAUCAUCAUCAUUGUCAUCGACG
rnacentral:pre_miRNA from 1 species